UCGAGAAUCUUCGGCAAUGGGCGCAAGCCUGACCGAGCGACGCCGCGUGCGGGAUGAAGGCCUUCGGGUUGUAAACCGCUGUCAGAGGGGAAGAAAUGCAUGAGGGCACUCUCUCAUGUUUGACUGAUCCUCAGAGGAAGUCCGGGCUAAGUUCGUGCCAGCAGCCGCGGUAAGACGAACCGGACAAACGUUAUUCGGAAUCACUGGGCUUAAAGGGUGCGUAGGCGGCGUGGAUAGUCGGAUGUGAAAUCCCUCAGCUCAACUGAGGAACUGCGUCCGAAACUGCCAUGCUCGAGGGAGACAGGGGUGAGCGGAACUCACGGUGGAGCGGUGAAAUGCGUUGAUAUCGUGAGGAACACCGGUGGCGAAAGCGGCUCACUGGGUCUCUUCUGACGCUGAGGCACGAAAGCUAGGGGAGCGAACGGGAUUAGAUACCCCUGUAGUCC
rnacentral:rRNA from 1 species